AGGAUCUUAGGUUAGGUUAAACCAAAAGUUUUCAAAGCUUUAAAGGGGAGUUAAGUAAAGUCUUCCAGGUCCUG
rnacentral:tRNA from 1 species